rnacentral:rRNA from 1 species
GACGAACGCUGGCGGCGUGCCUAAUACAUGCAAGUCGAGCGGACCGAACAGGAGCUUGCUCUUGUUCGGUUAGCGGCGGACGGGUGAGUAACACGUGGGUAACCUGCCCGUAAGACCGGGAUAACUCCGGGAAACCGGAGCUAAUACCGGAUAACACCGAAGACCGCAUGGUCUUUGGUUGAAAGGCGGCUUCGGCUGCCACUUACGGAUGGGCCCGCGGCGCAUUAGCUAGUUGGUGAGGUAACGGCUCACCAAGGCGACGAUGCGUAGCCGGCCUGAGAGGGUGACCGGCCACACUGGGACUGAGACACGGCCCAGGCUCCUACGGGAGGCAGCAGUAGGGAAUCUGCCGCAAUGGACGAAAGUCUGACGGAGCGACGCCGCGUGAGCGAAGAAGGUCUUCGGAUCGUAAAGCUCGGUUGUUAGGGAAGAAGAAGCGUCGUUCGAACAGGGCGGCGCGGUGACGGUACCUAACGAGAAAGCCCCGGCUAACUACGUG